rnacentral:rRNA from 1 species
ACUGAAUAGAUACCCGGGUAGUCCAUGCUGUAAACGAUGUCAACUAGCCGUUGGGGCCCUUGAGGCUUUAGUGGCGCAGCUAACGCGAUAAGUUGACCGCCUGGGGAGUACGGCCGCAAGGUUAAAACUCAAAUGAAUUGACGGGGGCCCGCACAAGCGGUGGAGUAUGUGGUUUAAAUUCGAUGCAACGCGAAGAACCUUACCUGGCCUUGACAUAUCCGGAACCCUGCAGAGAUGCGGGGGUGCCUUCGGGAAUCGGAAUACAGGUGCUGCAUGGCUGUCGUCAGCUCGUGUCGUGAGAUGUUGGGUUAAGUCCCGCAACGAGCGCAACCCUUAUCCUUAGUUGCCAGCGCGUAAAGGCGGGAACUCUAGGGAGACUGCCGGUGACAAACCGGAGGAAGGCGGGGACGACGUCAAGUCAUCAUGGCCCUUACGGCCAGGGCUACACACGUACUACAAUGGUCGGUACAAAGGGUUGCUAAGCCGCGAGGGCCACGCCAAUCUCAAAAAAGCCGAUCGUAGUCCAGAUUGGAGUCUGCAACUCGACUCC